rnacentral:tRNA from 1 species
GGGGAUUUGGCUCAGUGACAUAAGCACAUGCCUUGCAAGCAUGCGAUCCUGAGUUCAAUCCCUG